UACGUAGGGGGCUAGCGUUGUCCGGAAUCAUUGGGCGUAAAGCGCGUGUAGGCGGUCCAGUAAGUCCGCUGUGAAAGUCGGGGGCUCAACCCUCGAAUGCCGGUGGAUACUGUCGGGCUAGAGUGCGGAAGAGGCGAGUGGAAUUCCUGGUGUAGCGGUGAAAUGCGCAGAUAUCAGGAGGAACACCUAUUGCGAAGGCAGCUCGCUGGGACGUAACUGACGCUGAGACGCGAAAGCGUGGGGAGCAAACAGG
rnacentral:rRNA from 1 species